CCUACGGGAGGCAGCAGUGGGGAAUAUUGCACAAUGGGCGCAAGCCUGAUGCAGCCAUGCCGCGUGUAUGAAGAAGGCCUUAGGGUUGUAAAGUACUUUCAGUUGGGAGGAAGGCGUUGAUGCUAAUAUCAUCAACGAUUGACGUUACCAACAGAAGAAGCACCGGCCAACUCCGUGCCAGCAGCCGCGGUAAUACGGAGGGUGCAAGCGUUAAUCGGAAUUACUGGGCGUAAAGCGCACGCAGGCGGUCUGUCAAGUCGGAUGUGAAAUCCCCGGGCUCAACCUGGGAACUGCAUUCGAAGCUGGCAGGCUAGAGUCUUGUAGAGGGGGGUAGAAUUCCAGGUGUAGCGGUGAAAUGCGUAGAGAUCUGGAGGAAUACCGGUGGCGAAGGCGGCCCCCUGGACGAAGACUGACGCUCAGGUGCGAAAGCGUGGGGAGCAAACAGGAUUAGAUACCCGUGUAGUC
rnacentral:rRNA from 1 species